rnacentral:rRNA from 1 species
CUAUCGAAUCAUACCAGCACUAAAUGCACCGCGAUCCAUAAGAACUCCGAAGUCAAGCGUGCUUGGGCGAGAGUAGUACUAGGAUGGGUGGACCCCUGCUCAAGCGUGCUGGGCGAGC